rnacentral:rRNA from 1 species
AGAUUGAACGCUGGCGGCAUGCCUUACACAUGCAAGUCGAACGGCAGCACGGGAGCAAUCCUGGUGGCGAGUGGCGAACGGGUGAGUAAUACAUCGGAACGUGCCUAGUAGUGGGGGAUAGCCCGGCGAAAGCCGGAUUAAUACCGCAUACGACCUACGGGUGAAAGCGGGGGAUCGCAAGACCUCGCGCUAUUGGAGCGGCUGAUGUCAGAUUAGGUAGUUGGUAGGGUAAAAGCCUACCAAGCCGACGAUCUGUAGCUGGUCUGAGAGGACGACCAGCCACACUGGGACUGAGACACGGCCCAGACUCCUACGGGAGGCAGCAGUGGGGAAUUUUGGACAAUGGGCGCAAGCCUGAUCCAGCCAUGCCGCGUGCGGGAAGAAGGCCUGGUGUAACCGCUUUGUCAGGAAGAAACGCACUGGCCAAUAUCCUGGUGUAAUGACGUACCGUGAAGAAUAAGACACCGGCUAACUACGUGCCAGCAGCCGA